GCUACAGAUAGCUCAAUUGGUUAGGACGUGGUGCUGAUAACGCCAAGGUUGCAGGUUUGAUCCCCAUAUGGGGCAGCU